CACGGCUAACUACGUGCCAGCAGCCGCGGUAAUACGUAGGUGGCAAGCGUUAUCCGGAUUUAUUGGGCGUAAAGAGAGUGCAGGCGGUUUUCUAAGUCUGAUGUGAAGGCCUUCGGCUUAACCGGAGAAGUGCAUCGGAAACUGGAUAACUUGAGUGCAGAAGAGGGUAGUGGAACUCCAUGUGUAGCGGUGGAAUGCGUAGAUAUAUGGAAGAACACCAGUGGCGAAGGCGGCUACCUGGUCUGCAACUGACGCUGAGACUCGAAAGCAUGGGUAGCGAACAGGAUUAGAUACCCUGGUAG
rnacentral:rRNA from 1 species